GGGAGAGAGGGAAGGAGGAAGAAGGGGAGGGCAUGCGUGGAGAGGCUUCCUUGUUCCUCCACCAUGUGGCCAAGAGGCUUUCAUGGUUGCCAAAGCCAGAGGGUCCUCAGAAUCCUCCUCAAAGUGCUGGGCUAGAACAGUCAUCAACCGUGGUCUGGAAGCAGAUGAUCACCUCUGAUAUAUGGUCAGCAGUAGCCUAAUGCUAAGUCAUGAUGCCUAUGUCAUUCUCCCAACUUCAUCUCAUCACAUAGGCAUUUUAUAUCUCAUCAUCACAAGAAGAAGGAGGCUCUUCUUUAGAAGACCAUGCUGGUUUUUAAAGCUGUGAUCACAAGGGAAGAAAUUCACUUUCCCCAGACUGGAUCAAAUCUAUUCAUUUUGUCAGGUAAUAUUUUCUAUUUCCUGCUAAGAAACA